rnacentral:sRNA from 1 species
CCAGAAAAUUUAAAUGCCCUAAAAAAUCCACCUAUCGAUAGGCAGUAAAGUCCCACCACUGCUUACAACUAUCAUCUCUACUAUUUACAGCGUGGGUGAAGCCAGCAAAGGAGAAGCGUAAAAUGGAACCGACGAAGAAGCAUGGAAACGUAUUCCCCGGAGGUCAUCAAGAGGAUUUACUAGCAGCAAUUGGCCGGCGUCGCUGGAAUUCUCGGUAGCGUCAUCAAUGAGUUCUUGGAAGUGGACGCCUCGACCCAACGCACAUACAUAUUGCGGCGUCACAUAUUUGGCACGCAGCAUUUGGGUUGCAUUCACUGGCUGUGGCAGCAACAUCGGCGUCCAACAGGAAGAUGUCGGCAGCGGCGAUUUGGCAGCAGCGUCGUCGGGGAUGGGCGUCGACGUCGGCAGCAGCAUCGCCUCAGAAGGGCGUCGGUGUCGGCGUCUCACGUAGGCCGCGCCGUUUCCAAGAAACAUUGCUGUGGAACAGCGUCGGCGGAGACAUGGACCGCAAUAUAAGCUACAUAUUCUCGGGAAUCAUCAGUUCCAGCUAGCGUCGAAGGAAAGAAAGCAUGUUUGCCACAUACAUGCGAGCAGAUUUAGAGGAAAUCUGUGAGCGCGGCUAAGUGGGCAUGAGGUCAUUGCCGUGGUCAGGGUGCGUGUCCCAAAAAGGAAGGUCAUCAGGAACGGAUCGUAGACAAUACAGGUGAGUCAAAAAUUGCAGUAUACAGAGACAGACAAAGACACACAGAGACAGACAGAGACAGACAGAGACA